UACGUAGGGUGCGAGCGUUAAUCGGAAUUACUGGGCGUAAAGCGUGCGCAGGCGGUUGUGCAAGACCGAUGUGAAAUCCCCGGGCUUAACCUGGGAAUGGCAUUGGUGACUGCACGGCUAGAGUGUGGUCAGAGGGGGGUAGAAUUCCACGUGUGAGCAGUGAAAUGCGUAGAGAUGUGGAGGAAUACCGAUGGCGAAGGCAGCCCCCUGGGAUAACACUGACGCCUCAUGCACGAAAGCGUGGGGAGCAAACAGG
rnacentral:rRNA from 1 species